UGCAUAUGAUGUGAACGAAUAUUUGCUAUCUGAAUAACUGAUGACAUUCCACCAAGAUCACUGAUGCA
ensembl:snoRNA SNORD24 Small nucleolar RNA SNORD24